ensembl:lncRNA
CUCAGUUCCUCUGAUGUUGUUCUCGUUGACUGGGAGUCAAAAUGUUCCAUUUCCUCAUCACAUUCUCUGUACUACUUAUUUGCCUUAUGGGUAAUAGGCCUAAUACACAUUUUGGAAAUCAUCAAUUAUUUUGAUGUCCAGGAUGGGCAUUUCUGUGUAUGUGUCCAUCCAUUGGGGUAUAAGGGCCCAAUGUGGAUAUAAUUUCAUCCAUCACUUGAAGUAAAAUGUCUUCUCUCCACCUCUACCCAGGUCUCUCUCUCAGCCUUGAGGUUUAUCAGACUCCCUCUGAAGUCUUACUGAAACGUGGAGAGAACGUUCAGAUCUUCUGCCACCAUGAGAGAACUAACUACAGACUGAUGCAGUGGUUCCAGCAGUCACCGGGAGAACUCAAAUGUAUAGCCUAUUUAUUGUUUAAGUCUCAAACCACGUACAUUGAAGAACAUCUAAACGUGAGUGGGGAUUUGAGUCAGAACGACCCGAAGAAUGUUUCUCUGAACAUGUUCAACCUUAAAGGUCCCGAUCACAGUGCAGUUUAUUACUGUGCUGCAAGUGAAGGCCACAGUGUUGUAGAUUCCCUCUCUGCACUACAAAAACCCUGUGUGUCACAAUCUGUCUCACUGUAGUAAACUAUUUAACAGAACACCUCCCUCACACCUGCGUUGAGGUCUGGAUUUGAUCCGAUAUACUGUAACCACAACUAGAAUGAGUAGAACGGGCCUCCUCAUUCAAGUCAAUGAUGCCAUAAUGGGUGGACUGGCAGCCAUCCUUUCUAGACAUUAUAUUUCUGUGACUGUGACAACGUUCUGCCGUUACAUCGCUGAUGAGGUCACUUCCUGUCCCUCUUUCUCCUCUCCAGUCAGUUCAGAUGAGAUGUCAGUUAGUUGUUGAUGUUCAGCUCCAGACUCAACAUGAUCAGAACCCUCUUACUCGGUUGGCUCUCAGGUCUCUGUCUCAGUGUUGAGGUUCACCAGACUCCCUCUGCAGUCUUCAGCAGACCUGGAGAGAAUGUUCAACUCUUCUGCCAACAUCAGAAAACAGACUACACACUAAUGCUGUGGUACCAGAAACCACAAGGAGAAACAGCUCUGAAACUCAUUGGAAAUCUGUAUCAUAAAAAUCCAACCAUUGAAAGUUCAUAUGAAAAGCAUUUUAAUAUGAGUGGGGAUUUGGGUGGAGGUGGCCCAAAGAAUGCCUCUCUGAACAUGUUCAACUUGAGACGACCCCAACACAGUGCUGUGUAUUUCUGUGCUGCUAGUUAUGCACAGUGUUGCAGAUUCCCCUAUCUACACUACAAAAACCUUCUCUCAGUCACUGUCUCACUAGAUUAUACUGAAGCAACACCUCCCUCACACCUGCACUGAGGUCUGGAUUUGAUUCAGUGCCAAUAUAAUAUAACAGUACAGCUGUCUGACGCCACGCCGCAUUCUGUCAUUACAUCACUGAUGAGGUCACUUCCUGUUCCUCCUCUUCAGUCAGUUCAGAUGAGAUGAGAUGAGAUGUCAGUUGGUUGUCAACGAUCACUAAGUCAACAUGAUCACACCUCUUAUCAUUAUCACUGUCCCACUAUUCUGGAUUACAGGUAAUUUAAACUUCAGAUAUUUAGUAGUUCCCUACAUUACUUAUUAAACAUGAAAAUGUAACAAUUUGCCUAAAUAUGUACAAAUAAUUACUAAUUAUAUGUUUUAUUCAAACUUGAGAAAUGGUGGUACAAUCCUUUGUUAUGUCCUCUGUCUCCGCCCAGGUGUCUCUCUCAGUAAAUCAGUGUACCAGUCUCCCUCUACGUCGCUGGUGAAGCCUAAUGCCUCUGUCACACUCAACUGUAGUCAUAAAAUCCCCAGCUAUGACACAGUCCUCUGGUACAAGCGUUCUGUGGAAGACACGGCUCUAAACCUCAUAGCUUAUAUAUACUAUAAAACCCCAACAGUUGAACCCUCAUAUAAAGGUUACUUUGAUGUGAAAGGAGAUGGAGAGAACGAAGCCUUCCUUCAUAUCCUCAAACCGAGACAAGCUGAAGACAGUGGGGAGUAUUUCUGUGCUGCCAGUAUACACAGUGGUACAGAGACCUAGUCCACUCUACAAAAACCUCCAUCUGACACUACAUCAAAACACCUGCAUUAAACCACAUGAAGGAGCAGACUUCUGUUCUGAUACUAUCAACACCUGCAUUAAACCACAUGAACUAACAGACGUCUGUUCAGAGAGAGAGAGAGUGGGGGAGAGGAGAGAGAAGGAGAGAGAGAGCGAGAGAGAGAGAGAGAGAGAAAGAGACAGAGAUUGGGGGGGAGAGAAAGAGAAAGAGAGAGGCAAAGAGAGUGAGAUCAGAGCAUAUGCAUGGAGAUAGAGACAGAGAGAAUCUAGUUUCAAGGACCAAAUGAAAUUGAGAGGAAAUGCAGAACAGUAUUGUGAUUUGAGUGUUUCCAACCUGACACAAGAAGACAGUGCAGUGUAUUUCUGUGCUGCCAGAGAGCACAGUGCAGCAGAUCCUGUCUCAGCCCUACAAAAACCACAUCUCAAAUACAAAGUCACACCUCAUACCUCCACUACAGUGUUCUGAACCAUAUAAACAUCCUCAGUACUAAACAUCCUCAAUACUAAACAUCCUCACUACUAAACAUCCUCAUUACUAAACAUCCUCAUUACUAAAUAUCCUCAAUACUAAACAUCCUCACUACUAAACAUCCUCAAUACUAAACAUCCUCAUUACUAAACAUCCUCAAUACUAAACAUCCUCAAUACUAAACAUCCUCAGUACUAAACAUCCUCAAUACUAAACAUCCUCAUUACUAAACAUCCUCAAUACUAAACAUCCUCAAUACUAAACAUCCUCAACACUAAACAUCCUCAAUACUAAACAUCCUCAUUACUAAACAUCCUCAUUACUAAACAUCCUCAAUACUAAACAUCCUCAAUACUAAACAUCCUCAUUACUAAACAUCCUC